rnacentral:misc_RNA from 1 species
CAAUCGCGAUAAGUAAUACGAAUUGCAGGUCUCUGUGAAUCAUCGAAACUUCGAACGCACUGCGCCCGGGAGCAAUCUCGGGCACAUUCGGUUGAGUGACAAUUUUAAUUUUUGAUACCCAGUAUCACUGUCGGUGGUUUUUGGUACCCCCAAAAUCCACUCAGAACUUGUACAUUUUUGUCGGCGAGGUUACCUCCCCAUCGGAAACUGGAUUUUUCCAACUUCCAGAUGCUGUGUGACCUUUAGAUUGGAGUACCGAAAGCGGAUAACUUGGGGGUGUGCCUCCCUUCAAAACAUCCGCCGCCAGUGUUUCUAUCGGUCCGACGAAUAAAAGUCUACAACCCACAAAAAGGGGAGUCUCCUGAUUCCCUUUUUUCUCCAAAUUUGUCCUCAACUCGAG